UGGGUGUUUAUAUAUGUACAGUUACUCAGGUGAAUAUUGUUUUUGAUGAUACUCUGAGUGUAUAUGCAGUUAGCAGAGCAUUAGACUACUUGCGGGUUCGAUUCUCACAAUGGUCAGGCUAACUUUUCAGCCUGCCCGGUGUGGAUAUAUACACUCAGAGUAACAUAGUUACAAAACAUCAAAUUAUAGUCAAUUUAUACAAGUUCUUUUUUCAGCCACUGUUAUACAACUAGGUGUAGUUCUGAUUGCACAGCAAUGUGUUGUAGCAAAUUUAAGUUCUCCUGAAGACCUGAUGCAGUAAUUUUUCAACUUUUUCCACAUGACAAGCAAUAUUAUCU